rnacentral:rRNA from 1 species
AUGAACGCUGGCGGCGUGCCUAAUACAUGCAAGUCGAGCGAACGGACGAGAAGCUUGCUUCCCUGAUGUUCGCGGCGGACGGGUGAGUAACACGUGGAUAACCUACCUAUAAGACUGGGAUAACUUCGGGAAACCGGAGCUAAUACCGGAUGAUAUUUUGAACCGCAUGGUUCAAAAGUGAAAGACGGUCUUGCUGUCACUUAUAGAUGGAUCCGCGCUGCAUUAGCUAGUUGGUAAGGUACGGCUUACCAAGGCAACGAUGCAUAGCCGACCUGAGAGGGUGAUCGGCCACACCGGAACUGAGACACGGUCCAGACUCCUACGGGAGGCAGCAGUAGGGAAUCUUCCGCAAUGGGCGAAAGCCUGACGGAGCAACGCCGCGUGAGUGAUGAAGGUCUUCGGAUCGUAAAACUCUGUUAUUAGGGAAGAACAUAUGUGUAAGUAACUGUGCACAUCUUGACGGUACCUAAUCAGAAAGCCACGGCUAACUACGUG